rnacentral:sRNA from 1 species
CAACAACUGAAAGGAGGUGGUCUGAUGUCUCAUUGUCAAAUGCCGCACGCAGCGGAUCAUGUGAGUUCGGCCUCCGUCCCGGGGGCACGGCUCGACUGAGCUGCUGCGUCAAGCAGGACAAUGGAAGGGCCGCCUUGCAAGAGGCGGCCCU